rnacentral:rRNA from 1 species
GUUCUCCCUGAUACUUUAAGUAUCCUAAAGGGUUGUCGUAGACUACGACGUUGAUAGGCAGGGUGUGUAAGCGUUGUGAGGCGUUGAGCUAACCUGUACUAAUUGCCCGUGAGGCUUAACCAU